GCUCGGUUAGCUCAGCUGGUUAGAGCGUCGUACUAAUAUUUGCCCAAGCAAAUACUAAGUAAUGCGAAGGUCAUGAGUUCAAUCCUCAUACUGAGCA